rnacentral:rRNA from 1 species
GACGAACGCUGGCGGCGUGCUUAACACAUGAAAGUCGAACGGUAAGGCCCUUCGGGGUACACGAGUGGCGAACGGGUGAGUAACACGUGGGUGAUCUGCCCUGCACUUCGGGAUAAGCCUGGGAAACUGGGUCUAAUACCGGAUAGGACUCCGGACUGCAUGGUCUGGGGUGGCAAGCUUUUGCGGUGUGGGAUGGGCCCGGGGCCUAUCAGCUUGUUGGGGGGGUGAUGGCCUACCAAGGCGACGACGGGUAGCCGGCCUGAGAGGGUGACCGGCCAGACUGGGACGGCGAUACGGCCCAGACUCCUACAGGAGGCAGCAGUGGGGAAUAUUGCACAAUGGGCGCAAGCCUGAUGCAGCGACGCCGCGUGAGGGAUGACGGCCUUCGGUUUGUAAACCUCUUUCAGCAUCGACGAAGCGAAAGUGACGGUAGGUGCAGAAGAAGGACCGGCCAACUACGUGCCAGCCGCCGCCGUAA